rnacentral:rRNA from 1 species
UACGUAGGGUGCGAGCGUUAAUCGGAAUUACUGGGCGUAAAGCGUGCGCAGGCGGUUUUGUAAGCCAGAUGUGAAAUCCCCGGGCUUAACCUGGGAAUGGCAUUUGGGACUGCAAGGCUUGAGUGCGGCAGAGGAGACUGGAAUUCCCGGUGUAGCAGUGAAAUGCGUAGAUAUCGGGAGGAACACCGGUGGCGAAGGCGGUUCUCUGGGCCUUACCUGACGCUGAGGAGCGAAAGCGUGGGGAGCAAACAGG